rnacentral:misc_RNA from 1 species
UUCAAGACGUUUAGAUGCUAAAAAUGCUGAGAAAAACGGUUUUCUCGCAACGGACGAUUAAUAAAGGUUCUGAUGACGAGAGAUCCAUCCGAGGGUCGUGAAAGCCGGUAGGACAGGAGGUGAGACAGGAGUACAGACAGGAAGCUAUCUCUACAUCGCUGCUAUAUGCUUUAUUCAACAAGAUUCGUCAACUACAGAGUACUUCGAUCUGUGAUUGUGCCCGUGUAUCAGUUUUACAAAUAUCGAACGUAUAUUGAAACCUGAGAGCAGCUGUAAUGAGUCAUCGUGGGACAGGUUAAUGAAAGAUCUGUCUCCAAGGCACCAAGGCCAUCACGUGAAAGAUGAUACAGACCAGGGGAUGGAAGUCUAGAAGUGGUGUGAUUAGAGUGGGAAAUAACACCUCACAGGAAAUAUGGUCAUCACAGUGCUGGAGGAGGGGUCAGUCAGGUGCGACGGCACAAUCAUGCGGUGGCAACGGGCAAGACAAGUAGACAAGUGGACGAACACGAGUGUAGACAGGCAGACACAGACACACAGGAAGAGGCAAGCACGCACAUACACACAUAGAGAGCUUUGGAGUGAGGAAAGGUAGAGCAAUAGAACCACUCGACAUCAGGUCUGACCACGGCGAUUACAGGUGGUUGGCGCUGUCGAGGGUGUACAGAUCUGUCGCGUCAUGCAAGCAGACCUCUCCCAGACCUCGCCCGCGUCACGCUGGCUUCCACAGGCCCCACAGUCAGCAGCAGAUCGACAGACACCCAUCAGCACCCAGUGCAGACAGGAAGCUGGUGCUGUCUGCAAGCUGGCGCGCCCACGGUGUAGCUUGGUGCUGCCACCCGCACCCACCCUAGGCGCCAGUCGUCUCCCUUUACUCACUACUCCCUUACCUGAGACAUCGUGCGCAUCCAGGUGAGAAGUUUGGCACCAGGCAGCGCAGUCAGCAACGGCUUCUGUUGUGAGCUGAGCAUUCGCUACCGCUCCGGUAGUGACUUGUACCAAGGGAGCCAAUACGGAGAUUACAAAGCUACUCAUCGUCCUUGGGAUGAGGAUAACCUGCGAAUAGGAAGCAAAGGGAGGCAACUCAGCAGGGGUUCCAGC